rnacentral:rRNA from 1 species
GCUUAUCACCAUUCCAGAUUGAAUAUACCCGAUCUCGUCUGAUCUCGGAAGUCAAGGAAAUCGGGCUUGGUUAGUAC